CAGCCUCACCACCUUCAGCCUUCCCACCCCCCCACCAGCCUCACCACCCUCAGCCUCCUUGGGGUGGGGUGGUGAGGCUGGUGGAGGGGGUGGGAAGGCUGAGGGUGGUGAGGCUG
rnacentral:miRNA from 1 species